rnacentral:misc_RNA from 1 species
GAAGAAGGAAGAGCCUUUCUCUCAUGGAUCUUUCUUUGAUUUCCUCAGAUCUCUUCCUCUAGAAAAUAGAAUCUGAAACAUGUCCACCCCAGCGAGGAAGAGGCUGAUGAGGGAUUUCAAGAGGCUCCAGCAGGAUCCUCCUGCGGGCAUUAGCGGUGCCCCUCAAGAAAACCAUGUCUUGCUCUGGAAUGCUGUCAUUUUUGGGCCUGAUGAUACUCCUUGGGAUGGAGGAACGUUUAAGUUGACUCUGCAAUUCACAGAGGAUUAUCCCAACAAACCUCCAACAGUCCGCUUUGUCUCACGAAUGUUUCAUCCAAAUAUAUAUGCAGAUGGAAGCAUUUGCUUAGAUAUCUUACAAAAUCAAUG